CCCAUGACAUAUCUAAAAAUUUCUAAAAUUAUUUUGGUUCGACUAAUGGAGUUAAUUUCAAAUAAAAACGUGAUCUUGAUUUAAAAUACUACAUGAAAAAAAAAACUUAGAUUUUACCGUAUAAAAUGCCAUAGACUAAACCCUAAUUCGGUCCUUUCCUCUUAUUCAGGCUCUCAUUUGCGAAAUCGGCCGCCGUGCGCCUCCGCAGCUCCGCCACAUUUCCUAAAAGAACACAUCUUUGUUAAUCGGCAUUUCGAUUUCGAUAAAAGAAACUAUGCUGUUGUCCAUGGGUUUGGGGGGCUUGAGUGGAACUAGUAUAGCGGAAGAGGGCCCUUGUCCAUGCUCGAGUUUUGCACUGUGACGUUCGCAACCUCUUCUAUAUUAAUAUUGCCAUGAUAUGGCGAGGGGUUGUAUGUUGUAAAAGGCGGGGAUUGCAUCCUAGUAUUGGAUAGCAAUUUAGACUUCAGCCCGAAAACUCUUGCUCCCCUGUCCUAAUUGAGCUAUCAACGCGUUUCCUGCAUUGAUCUCAUUCUCUUGCUGAUCCAUUCUUUGGUCUUUACCCUUGCUGCUGUUUACGUGCAUUGAUUGCUUACAAUUUUUGUUGUGAUCGACCUCUUUAUAUUACUCGGAUUUGCUUAUUUUGAUCUUGUUUCUCUCUGAUUGUUCCUGUCUUGUUACUUCGAUCUUUGCUUUUGUAAUGCUCUGUUUUUACUACUGAUUUCCAUUGCCUUGAUUUGUUAUCUACGUGUAUCAAAGAAAGCCUUCUACAUU